AACUUCCGUGUUAGUAGGGAAUUUAGUUGCCAUUAAUACCUAGUUAGGCUGACUCGCCCGACGUGGGCGCUCACCCAGGCAUGGGCUCUCCGGCAGCUUCACACACGUUUAUGAUCUUCUGGUGAUUUGAUUCACAAGCGGGGCAGCAUGCGACUCAUCUGCUAUGAACGCGCAAAGGAUUUUAUCGUAUUGGUAAGUGAGCUGAUCGUUGAUUCCAUCCGGCGGAAGCGAGCCGGUUGUUUCCUCUGACAUCUCAAUCGGUGGCAAGCGAUCCAUGGCGAAUUGGCGCUGGCUAAGUACAUGAUGCAUCGAACACCGGCCGGCCAACCAGCGUGCGUCUUCCGAGUUGACGUGGCAUACUGGUGGCGAUGACGCCUCCCGUCGCAUGGAUUACUGCAACUUCUCUCAUGGACGUCGACGACCACAAUCGUGUUGCUUCGACAGUGUUUCUUUAUUUUCUGUCUAUGAGCCACAUACUAUGGACACCAGAUCUAGAUGCUUGGAAUUGAAUUGUACACUUUUUCGUGGAUUAGACUCCUUUUAAUUCAUGUAUUUCCUUAAGAAACUAUAUACUCCUUUUGUAGUAGUAUAUACCCAUCA